CGCGCGGCGGGCGGGGCGGGGGCACGGGGGGCCUACGGGAGGCAGCAGUUAGGAAUCUUGGACAAUGGGCGCAAGCCUGAUCCAGCCAUGCCGCGUGAGUGAUGAAGGCCUUAGGGUUGUAAAGCUCUUUCAGCGGGGAAGAUAAUGACGGUACCCGCAGAAGAAGCCCCGGCUAACUUCGUGCCAGCACCCGC
rnacentral:rRNA from 1 species